GGAGGGAUUUCACUGUGGUAUUAAUCUGACAAGACAGCAGCCGGCCACCCGGGCUGGACUCAGAUCGAGUUGGGUUGCUGUGCCUGUGACGCUCGCUCUGCUGCUUCACUGUCAUCAGGACGCAACAUGAACAUCUUUUGCUUCUCGUUGGAGGGUUCAAUGGACAACCUGUAUGAGGCUGUGCAGACCUCCAGCAACAGCCCACCUCAAUCCAUCCCGAGCCGCUCCUCCAGCCGGUCGUGCAGCCCGGCGCUCCUGCUAGACAAUGACGCAAGGUGGAGGGGUUCCGGAAGGUCUACUUCUAUGGAAAUGACAAUGAGACCAGACACCAAAGCUCAGAAA